rnacentral:lncRNA from 1 species
CCAAAGUGCUGGGAUUACACUGCUCCCAGCCAAUCUGUUUAAUUUUUAAAAGUAUUAUUUAAUUAUCAAAACCACCAUUUGUGGAUCAUGGCGGUACAGGAAGGGAUGGCUGGAUAGUAGACUACAUCCACAUCUUCGGGCAAGGACAAAGAUACCUCAACAGGAGAAAUUGGGCAGGGACAGGGCAUUCUCUCCAGCAGGUGACUGGGCAUGACCACUACAAUGCUGAUCUGAAACCGAUCGAUGGGUUCAAUGGAAGGUUUGGCUACCGCAGGAACACUCCAGCCCUCCGUCAGAGCACGUCCGUCUUCGGAGAGGUCACCCACUUCCCUCUGUUCUAACAGCAUCUUUUCC